GAAGCCAGGCUGUUGACUUUGUCCCCCUGUCUUCUGACAUCCUACGUCAUCGGGUCAUCCAGAGGACUUCGUCGCAGGACAUCAUCUUGUAAUUUCCUGAGGAUGAUAGAGAGGUACUCUGUCACCAUUUCUCUCAUGCUCCUUUUCCAUCACUCUCCCUUAAAAGGAGGAUUGCAGUCCAAAGUCCUCCUCCCUUUGUGCCCGGCAGCAUCUAGAACCCAAGCAGGCAGCCCCUGCUGAGUGCCAGUAACAGGCUCUUUGCAUGAAGUCUUCAAAGAGAGAAUGUCAAGAAAUACUUGAAUCUGCAUGUUGGUUUUCUAACUUAAAUGCAGCAGUGAGGAAAGUUAACUGUGUAGAUAGUAGGUUCCCUUAGGUUUCCUUGGUGCAUCCUUUGUGAUGUAUGUGUAUCUGUUGUAUUGCAGGCUUUUGAAGAAUAUCUGUGUAGAUAGUAAUGUCAAAUGUCAAAAAAAAUGCUUUCUGUCACCUGCCAGUGUUGUUGUGUAUGUGGGUAUUUAUAGUUGCGUGUAUAUGAAUCAAUGUAUAGAUGGUAUCAGUAUAUGUACAUUGAAAAUAUUUGUGUCCUGAUCAACCAGUGUGAUAUGAAAAAAGCAAGUAAAAACCUCAUAGGACUGAUUGUACAGUGCAAUUGAGAACACAUAGAGUGGUAUUGCUUUCUUAACCUUAAAUCCAAGUGAUACUUUGAUUAAAAAUUUUAGUAAGACUUUAUGCUAGAAAAAUCCUUCUAUCUGUGAGCUUUGAAUCACCAGGGAAAAUGACUUUGAACUAACUUUGUGAAACUAUUGAGAUGUACAAUAUGCAGUGCCAAGGAGGUAGCGCAUUGUCACUUGGGAAACAGAAAAGGCAAAGGGGAAACCAGCCUGUGUGCACUCUUAGAAACUUUAGUAUUAAAAGCACUUAAACAUAAAGUUGAACUGACAAUUUGGGGCUUAUUACAAAAUGUGAUGCUUUAGAGCACACGUUCUUUAUUGUUGUAAUUAGUCCAGGAAAAAAAAUACAUAGCUUUCUGAAGAAAUAAGUAAGUACCCAGUGUGUACCUAUGUAUAUUUAACAGUAGAUGAAACAAACCACUCUCCUGGAGCUGUAUACUUACCUUCUUUUUGCGUUAAAGGAGUAUCAUAAAUGCUGAAGUAUAUCAGGGCAUCCCAAGAUUGGGUACUGUAUUCCAGGUUUGCAGUUGCACAAAUUAGUAGCUAGUAUCACAGGUAAAAAGGACUUUAGGACCAGGUUUAAACUUUAUUUAAUAUUUUUAUACUUAGGUCUCUUUUUCCUGCCUCUCCCCAAAGAAGAGCCACUGGCCUUAGUUGUUUGACCUUAUUGCAUAUAAUAUAGAGUGUAAAUAAGUAACUAGAAACUGAAAUUUUAUUAACCAGCAUGUUUGGUGUAUUUAAAGCAGUGACUGAGUGUGUUUGAGUGAGGGGCUGAGUGCAUUGUCUUUUGUUUCAACACGCUGCUCACGUCUUUGUACCUGAUUCCGAUCAUUGGAGCUGUGGAGUAGGAAACAAACCUUCAGCUCCAGCUGCAGUAGUGUGUUGAUAGUUAAUUACAUUUGGGUCUUGUUGUUGUUGUUGUUGUUAUUGUUUAUUGACUCUACAAACUAUUUUUGCAUAUAGAUUUCAUAAUUUGUUCUUGACGUGCAAUGGACUGGCUUUGCGACUGAUCAGCAGAGUCUUAGUUCUGCAAGAGUAUUUCCUUCUAAGAAUGAUUAGUAGUUUACAGAAAAUAGCCAUUGGAUUCAAAAUCAUACAACAAAGGAGUGGUAGAAAGAAGUUUUAUUUCGAGUCUCAGUUAUUUGAAAUGUUUGGACCUUAAUAGAAAGCCAUGGAGAUUGUAAAGCCAAGUAACCAUUUGACAGAACAAUAUCCACUCUAUUGAGAAUAUUUAUACACAUUGGUUUUUAUGCCAUUCAGAUAUGUUUAGAAAGCUCUAAGAAUGAUUUGACCAAAUUGAAGUGGAGGCGGUGAGCUCUCUCCCCUCCAUUUGGCCUCACCAUGUAUAUGUUCAUCCUAUUCUUAAGAUACUCAGACCAGUUUACCAUUCCCUUAGUUGUGUAAGAGGGUGCAUGAUACAUUUGGAACCUCAUCCACGUACGAUUGCUUGCAUACAUGCACACACACGGUGGAUGUUUUAAGUUAUACAAACAUAUGAACUUAAGACACAACGGACCAGAGUAUUCUAGAAAGGUGAUAUACACACAGAAGGUGGACACUAACUCGCAAAUGCUUUCCCAGGACAAGGAGGGAUUUCCUUGGGCUGUAGAGUCUGACUUUGAGAAGCAUCACAUUCGUACCAAAGCAGUCAGGUAAUGUGGGCCACAUCCUUCCUGGCAGACUACCACCAUCUUGAAGGCUUUCGUGUUGACCGCUGGUCCUUCAUUGUCCUAG